CAUUGUGUCGUGACGGAGACGCCGCCGGUCGUGGUUUCCGCGGCAGCGGGUGCGGCUGCUUUAGCCUGGCCUGGGCUCCACGGCUGCCUGGAGGGUCUCUGCAGCGCCCAUCCCUUCUCCUCCGGGACCCCACGCCAGCAGCGACCCUGAGCCGGCAGCCGGAGCAACCGGCCAUGGCAGCCUCGCACCGGCCCAUCAAGGGAAUCCUGAAGAACAAGACCUCUGCGGCUUCCCCUCCGGUGGUGCCCUCGGCCGAACAGCCCCGCCCGAUCGUGGAAGAGGAACUGAGUAAGAAGUCUCAGAAGUGGGAUGAAAUGAACAUCCUGGGAACAUAUCAUCCCGCUGACAAAGACUAUGGCUUGAUGAAAAUAGACGAGCCAAACACCCCAUAUCACAAUAUGAUAGGUGACGAUGAAGACGCCUAUAGUGAUUCUGAAGGCAAUGAAGUCAUGACUCCAGAUAUCUUAGCUAAGAAAUUAGCUGCUGCUGAAGGCUCAGAGCCAAAGUAUCGGACUCGGACUCGGGAGCAAGAAAGUAGUGGAGAGGAAGAUAAUGACCUCUCCCCUGAGGAGCGAGAAAAGAAGCGGCAGUUUGAAAUGAAAAGGAAGCUUCAUUACAAUGAAGGACUCAAUAUUAAGUUAGCCAGACAGUUAAUUUCAAAAGACCUACACGAUGAUGAAGAAGAUGAAGAAAUGGCAGAGACUGCAGAUGGAGACAGCAUGAUUGUUGAAGAGUCAAGUCAAGGAUCUACUACAAGUGACCAUCUGCAACACAAAUCACAAAGUUCAUAAAAGAAACAUGUUCAGCAAUGCGGUCGUUGUCAAAUACAAACCUUGUUACUAU